rnacentral:lncRNA from 1 species
UGUGCCGAGGGGCCUGGGCUUCCCUGACCCGGGCCUCUCUCCCCAGGCUUGGGCCCCUGCAGCGAGACCGCGGCUCAGCCCCCUGGCCCUGUGCAGGGGGAGCCGGCCAGGUCCUCCCCGCCCACUGGCCCCGUGGAGGAGGCCAGGGCACCCGGGGAGAAGCCACGGUCCAACUGUGCCCCGAGGGCCGGCCAGCGGAGCCUGCAGGUGCCGGCCACCUCGUCCUCGCAGCAGUCCUCCUCCUCCCCGGGCGCGACCUGCUCGGGCGACGUGCUCCUGCAGGCCUCGAAGUGCGCCCUGGCCAAGGCCUGCCGCCAGCCACCCGUCGUCUUCCUGCCCAAGCUGGUGUACGACAUGCUCACUGCCACCGACAGCAGUGGCCUGCCCAAGGCCACCUCCCUGCUGCCCGCACCCUCCGUCAUGUGGACCAGCUCCUUCCGGCCCCUGCUCAACAAGACCAUGACCUCCACUGAGCAGUCACUGUACUACCGACAGUGGACGGUGCCCCGGCCCAGCCACAUGGACUACGGCAACCGCGCUGAGGGCCGUGUGGACGGCUUUCAUCCCCGCCGGCUGCUGCUCAGUGGGCCCCCGCAGAUCGGAAAGACGGGGGCCUACCUGCAGUUCCUCAGCAACCUGUCCAGGAUGCUCGUGCGGCUGACGGAGGUGGACGUGUACGACGAGGCAGAGAUCAACACUGGCCCCCGGGAAGAAUCCGAGGGGCAUUACGCCCAGCUCAGUGACUCCUGGCCGGACCCAGAGCUGCUCCAGAAGAUGCCCUUUGAUUACCUCAUCCACGACCCCAAGUACGAGGACGCCAGUCUGAUCUGUUCCCACCAGAAGGGCGUCAAGAGGGAAGACAGAGGGACCCGGAGGCCCGAGGACCCCCCUGUGCGUCGGCAGACGGCCCGGAUGCGGCUGUCCAAGUACGCAGCACACAACACCUACCACCACUGCGAGCAGUGCCAGCACUACAUGGGCUCCCACCCCCGCUACCAGCUAUACGAGUCCAGCCUGCACGCCUUCGCCUUCUCCUACUCCAUGCUUGGCGAAGAGGUGCAGCUGCACUUCAUCAUCCCCAAGUCCAAGGAGCACCACUUUGUCUUCAGCCAGCCUGGGGGCCAGCUGGAGAGCAUGCGUCUGCCACUGGUCACCGACACGAGUCAGGAGUACAUAAAAAGUCCGACGUUCACACCGACGACUGGCCGGCAUGAACACGGGCUCUUUAACCUGUACCACGCCAUGGACGGUGCCAGCCACCUGCACGUGCUGGUCGUCAAGGAGUAUGAGAUGGCCAUCUACAAGAAGUAUUGGCCCAAUCAUAUCAUGCUGGUCCUGCCCAGCAUCUUCAACAACGCUGGAGUGGGUGCUGCCCACUUCCUGAUCAAGGAGCUGUCCUACCACAACCUGGAGCUGGAGCGGAGCCGGCAGGAGGAGCUGGGCAUCAAGCCACAGGACAUCUGGCCGUUCAUUGUCAUUUCCGACGACUCCUGCGUGAUGUGGAACGUGGUGGAUGUGGACCGCUCUGGGGAGCGCAGCCGGGAGUUCUCGUGGUCGGAGAGGAACGUGUCGCUGAAGAACAUCCUGCAGCACAUCGAGGCAGCGCCCAACAUCACGCACUACGCCCUCCUGGGCAUGCGCAAGUGGGCCAGCGGGACGCGCGACGUGCGGGAGCCCUUCUCGCGCUGCCAUGUGCACGACUUCAUCAUCCUGAACGUGGACCUCACCCAGAACGUGCAGUACAGCCAGAACCGGUGAGCGCCCCCGCUCCCGAGACUGCACCCCGGCAAGGGGCUUUCUUUUUCUGCGCUGCCCACCUGUGCUUUCUGUCUCCCUCUCUGAAUGCGCUGCCUUUUGGGACCUUUAGCACUGCAGGAAGGAGAAUAAUCCAUCAGCAGGUGUUUACCGAGGGUCUCUACGAGGUGCGAUCCAAAUAUACAGUGAAUGUUUACUGGUGCAGUAAAAGCUACACAGCCACGAAUCCCCUCAAAAUCCUCCCCGGCUUUGCACACACUCAUCCCAUCCUCCUCGGCACUUCCUGCAGCAGCUCUGGAGUCCUCUGUCCUGAGGGUCUUUAGCUGCGUUCUCCUGGCUGCCUUGAUGUCCUGAAUGGAUUCAAAACGUCUCCCUUUCAUGGUCAUUGUGACUUUGGGGAAGAGCAGGAAGUUGCACGGUGCCAGAUCCGGUGACUAAGGUGGACAGGACACAGCGGCGUGUGUUUAGGAGCUGCCUUUCCGAUGGAUGAUGCUCGGCAGCAGCAGUCACCAUAUAUUUCGAUCACUCCUUGUGUAUGCCAGGCAGCGGGCACAGGCCCCGAUGCCACUUAAAUUGUCAGUUUAGGAGCCAGACUGAUUAACCCACUGCAGCCUGGGCUCCACACUUAGUGUCUUGGCAGUGUGGGCCACCCUCUCGCUCAGCCAUUGUUCUCAGCUAUAAAAAGUGGCCCUGGUUUCACCACAGCUCUGCAA